rnacentral:rRNA from 1 species
GACGAACGCUGGCGGCGUGCUUAACACAUGCAAGUCGAACGGAAAAGCCCUGCUUGCAGGGUGCUCGAGUGGCGAACGGGUGAGUAACACGUGGGUGAUCUGCCCUUCACUUCGGGAUAAGCCUUGGAAACUGGGUCUAAUACCGGAUAUGAGCUAUUACUGCAUGGUUGGCUGGAGAGAUUUUUCGGUGUUGGAUGAGCUCGCGGCCUAUCAGCUUGUUGGUGGGGUAAUGGCCUACCAAGGCGGCGACGGGUAGCCGGCCUGAGAGGGUGGUCGGCCACACUGGGACUGAGACACGGCCCAGACUCCUACGGGAGGCAGCAGUGGGGAAUAUUGCACAAUGGGCGAAAGCCUGAUGCAGCGACGCCGCGUGGGGGAUGACGGCCUUCGGGUUGUAAACUUCUUUCGGUAGGGAAGAAGCGAAUGUGACGGUACCUGGAGAAGAAGCGCCGGCUAACUACGUG